CUUGUUCUAAUCCAUGUUAUUUCAGCUGCAAGGUUUUCAGCAGUGAUGAAGCGUCUGUUGAUUUUAAUGAGCCAGAUGUGGUCAGAUCACUGCUGUGGAGGUGUGGUGAAGAAUUAGGGCACAGUCGAAAGCAAUUCUAAAUUACUCCAGAGUGGUUCUUACUGUGAACAAUUGUAAAGUGGUGGAUGGACUGAAAGGUUUCUGCUGUUUUAUGGCCUGGGUAUAUUAUCCAAUCUUGUUCGAAAUUGAAGGUUUGAGGCUGGAACUCUUCUGGAAUCAAGAACCUCUCUCUGUGUGAGUGUUGAUGAGGUAUGUGUGAUGACUGAGAUGGAUAGAAGGAUGUUUUUUCUCUGACUUCUCCUUUUUCAUAAAUGUUGUACACUUUAACAAUCAUUUUCUUUGAAGAAGUAU
rnacentral:lncRNA from 12 species